UACGUAGGGUCCGAGCGUUGUCCGGAAUUAUUGGGCGUAAAGGGCUCGUAGGCGGUUUGUCGCGUCGGGAGUGAAAACCAGAGGCUUAACUUCUGGCUUGCUUUCGAUACGGGCAGACUUGAGGCAUGCAGGGGAGAACGGAAUUCCUGGUGUAGCGGUGAAAUGCGCAGAUAUCAGGAGGAAUACCGGUGGCGAAGGCGGUUCUCUGGGCAUGUUCUGACGCUGAGGAGCGAAAGUGUGGGGAGCGAACAGG
rnacentral:rRNA from 1 species